rnacentral:lncRNA from 1 species
AAAAAAACUGAACAUAUCCUCUCCCUUUCAGGGUUCCCAGCAGCCAAACAUGGCCCACGCCGGCGAGCGGCGGUUCCAAAGGCCAAAGCUCCUUCACGAGCGGUGGUCGGAGCGAGAAAAGGAGGGCUUUUUAACCCCGUUCUCGACCUCCACCUUAAGGCCCGGUCCUCCAGACCAAACAAGCCGAAACAAGGAGAAACCUUUCGUCUCCUUCUCGGUCUAAUUCCAACACCGAAGAUGGUCUCCG